ensembl:lncRNA novel transcript
GGAAGCAGAGCUGAGGAAGGCAGCCACUGCCCACCCAUGGCUAAGCAGGGAGAAAUGAAUACCUCAACCUCACUUUCCCCCUACCCCAAGUCUCCCAGCAAGUCUCCUACCAGAAGGCAGAGGGCAGGGCAGCUCUUUGACACAAUCCACAAAGAUCAGCCCUUCUGGAGCUCAGAGCUAUUACAGAGAAGCCUGGAGAGUGUGUCAAGACAGCUUUUCUCCAGGUGGUGUGACGCUGCUGCUAAUAAUGGUGAUGACAUCAAAACUGCCAAGGGCCUUAGAAAUCUGCUGGUCCAGCACGAAGCAGGGAGAUCACCAAAAAGGGGAGGCAGAGCUGGAAGAGAACACAGCUGUCCUGCCAUCCAGGUGCUCCAUUAUGCCUGAAAGGUUAACUUCACCACCAAAGCCCAAGAAGAGGUUUUCUUCGCCAAAGAUGGGGAAGUGCUGACAACGUUUGACAUUAAAAACAUCUAUGUUCUCCCAGACCUGUCAGGACAGACAGCCAUUGUUGGACACUUUGACUUCAGAGCACCUUCUGGAAAAGAGCUUCUGUUGGAUGACAGCGCAAUUGUCUGGGCAGAAGGACCCUUAAAGAUUAGAGCUGAGAGAACCCUAAGAACCAAGACCACACAGCACCUCUCACAUCCCAAGCUCCAGGAGAAUCGCUUGAACCCGGGAGGCGGAGGUUGCAGUGAGCCAAGAUUGUGCCACUGAACUCCAGCCUGGGUGACAGAGUGAGGUCCUGUCUCAAAAAAACAAACAAACAAAAAAUACAUAUUAUUACUACAACUUGAGUAUCCCUUAUCCGAAUUGCUUGGGACCAGAAGUGUUUUGGAUUUCAGAUUUUUUCAGAUUUUGAAAUAUUUGCAUAUGCAUAAGGAAAUAUCUUGGGGAUAGGAUCCAAGUCUAAAUAUGAAAUUCAUUUAUGUUUCAUAUACCACUUAUACACAUAGUCUGAAGGUAAUUUUUUACAAUAUUUUUAACUAUAUCAUGCAUGAAACAAAGUUUGUUUAUGUCAAGUCAGGUGUGGAAUUUUCCACUUGAGGCAUCAUGUUGGCACUCAAAAAGUUUUGGAUUUUGGAGCAUUCCAGAUUUCAGAUUUUCAAAUUAGGGAUGCCCCAUCUAUAUCUCCAUUUUAUUGAAGAGGAAUCUGAAGCUUAGAGAUGUUAAGCCCAAGGCACGCAAACCAUAAAGGGCAGAACCAGAAUUCCAACCAUCAAGAUGUCUUGUUUUCCCACCACACUCGAAAUCCGGAAGAGCUUAUUCUUACCUAUCACUGUUUCCCUAACACCCUGUACAGUACCUGAUAUACGGAACACAUUUUUAAUUAUCUGAGCAAGAAAUGGAGAAAGAGGAAAAUGAAAGAGAGUAGAAAAGGAAAACGUGAUAAAGAGGGGUUUAAUAAAGGAAGGAGUAAGAGAAAGAAAGAGAGAGAGGGACCUAGUAAGUGAAAACGAUGAGGCUUAUUCCUCCACGACCUGACUGCACAGAUGUCGCUCAAUUCCCCCUGCAGUCUCCCCAGCACUCUCUCCCCUCCACUCUCCCACCUCUUGUGUGUAGGUCCCUUCCUCUGUCUGCAACGAAAAACGUCCUGUGGAAACCAGGAAGUCAACCCUAUUUGAGAAGUCAAAAUGCUGCUACAAAAGCCUUCCCUGACCCAGAAGAGAAAUCGCAAUGUCACCAGGUAAGGAGGGAGGCUGGUUCUUGGUCAGAGGGUGGCCAGCCAUCAGCCAGAGUAGACUUCAGAUGAAAGCUGUGUCCACAUCAAGGAAAUUCCUUCAAUGGAAAAGUCCAGGGAAGUCGAGACCAAAAAGAAGAUGUCAAUGUGACCUUCCUAGAUGCUACAUUAAAGCCAUUUGAGGCUAUUAAAUUCAUUCUUUCUUUUAUCAA